rnacentral:rRNA from 1 species
CAGUAGCCGCGGUAAAACGGAGGGUGCAAGCGUUACUCGGAAUCACUGGGCGUAAAGGACGCGUAGGCGGAUUAUCAAGUCUCUUGUGAAAUCUAACGGCUUAACCGUUAAACUGCUUGGGAAACUGAUAAUCUAGAGUAAGGGAGAGGCAGAUGGAAUUCUUGGUGUAGGGGUAAAAUCCGUAGAUAUCAAGAAGAAUACCUAUUGCGAAGGCGAUCUGCUGGAACUUAACUGACGCUAAUGCGUGAAAGCGUGGGGAGCAAACAGGAUUAGAUACCCCCGUAGUCCCUGUCUCUUAUAC